CUAUUGGCUUUUUUAAAGCCACCUCACACAUACUUAUAACAAUAAG
rfam:Chelonia mydas contig208625, whole genome shotgun sequence.